rnacentral:rRNA from 1 species
CCUACGGGGGGCUGCAGUGGGGAAUAUUGGACAAUGGGGGGAACCCUGAUCCAGCCAUGCCGCGUGUGUGAAGAAGGCCCGCGGGUGGUAAAGCACUUUCAGUGAGGAAGAACGCCUGGUGGUUAAUACCCAUCAGGAAAGACAUCACUCACAGAAGAAGCACCGGCUAACUCCGUGCCAGCAGCCGCGGUAAUACGGAGGGUGCGAGCGUUAAUCGGAAUUACUGGGCGUAAAGCGCGCGUAGGUGGCUUGAUAAGCCGGUUGUGAAAGCCCCGGGCUCAACCUGGGAACGGCAUCCGGAACUGUCAAGCUAGAGUGCAGGAGAGGAAGGUAGAAUUCCCGGUGUAGCGGUGAAAUGCGUAGAGAUCGGGAGGAAUACCAGUGGCGAAGGCGGCCUUCUGGACUGACACUGACACUGAGGUGCGAAAGCGUGGGUAGCAAACAGGAUUAGAUACCCUAGUAGUC